UUCUGAGCUUCUGGGAGUUAAGACCCCAACAUGUAAAUCUGGAGGGAUGCAAUUCAACACGUAAUAUUCCCUAACACAAUAUUUCCAUAACAGUCUGUAGCGUCUUCUUCAGGCUAAGGGAUUGGGGCCUCAUCUAUCAGAGUUGUAAUAAGGAACAAAGGUUGUUGAAGGAUCGUGAUACAACCAUCAAAAUUAAAGAUUUGGUAUCCAAAGGGCAAUGUAACCCAAAAAUGUGAACAACUGGUAUAUAUGGAGCAUCAGGAAGAGUAGCUAAUGGAUGUGGAGCUUAAUACCAAGGCGAUGGGUUGAUUUGUGCAGCAAACCACCAUGGUUCACGUUUACCUGUGUAGCAUACCUGUACAUCCUGCACAUAUACCCGAGCUUAAAAGUUGAAGGAAAAUAUAGUGCUUCUGACUUUAUUGUGUGGAGCAGAUUGUGCUGGGGCAACAGUGAUGUAACCAGACAUCAGGAGGCUGCCAAAGGCCCCUCAUGUGAGAGGUCAUGGAGCCUCACAGGACUGGGUCAGAAGGGGCAGAGUCUGAAAGAAGUGGAUACCAAGUCAUCAGAGCUGGGGUGGGGAUCCAACCCAGGCUGACGAAGCAAGAGAGCCAACAAGGACUCCGUGGUCUCAGACCUGAAACCAGAAUAGCCAUGACAUUUGUGAUGAUAUGCAAGCUGGGAGAAAGACCAGGCUUGGUGGGGAGCGUGAGUGGCUUUCUGGCAGCAGAGU
rnacentral:lncRNA from 1 species